CGGCAAGCUUAACACAUGCAAGUCGAACGGACCGUAUACGCAGCUUGCUGCGUGUAUGGUUAGUGGCAGACGGGUGAGUAAUGCAUAGGAAUCUACCUAGUAGUAUGGGAUAGCCACUAGAAAUGGUGGGUAAUACUGUAUAAUCCCUGCGGGGGAAAGAUUUAUCGCUAUUAGAUGAGCCUAUGUCAGAUUAGCUAGUUGGUGGGGUAAUGGCCUACCAAGGCGGUGAUCUGUAGCUGGUCUGAGAGGAUGAUCAGCCACACUGGAACUGAGACACGGUCCAGACUCCUACGGGAGGCAGCAGUGGGGAAUAUUGGACAAUGGGCGCAAGCCUGAUCCAGCUAUGCCGCGUGAGUGAGGAAGGCCUUAGGGUUGUAAAACUCUUUCA
rnacentral:rRNA from 1 species